GCUGGGUAUGGUGGCGUGUGCCUGUAAUCCCAGAGAUUAGGGAGGCUGAGGCAGGAGGAUCAAAAGUUAGAGGCCAGCCUCAGCUACUUAGCGAGGACUUAAGCAACUUAGUGAGACCCUGUUUCAA
rnacentral:sRNA from 1 species